GUCGGUGUGGCCGAGCGGUCUAAGGCUCUGCCUUCAGGUCGCAGUCCAGUCUUGUUUGCGUGGGUUCGAAUCCCACUUCUGAUA
rnacentral:tRNA from 1 species